GCCAGGCAUGGUGGCGCAUGCCUAUAAUCCCAGCAACUUGGGAGGCUGAGGCAGGAGGAUCACUAGUUCAAAGCUGGCCUCAGCAACUUAGCAAGGCCCUAAGCAACUUAGUGAGACCCUGUCUUUA
rnacentral:sRNA from 1 species